UGGGGGAAUAUUGGACAAUGGGCGAAAGCCUGAUCCAGCCAUGCCGCGUGUGUGAAGAAGGUCUUCGGAUUGUAAAGCACUUUAAGUUGGGAGGAAGGGUUGUAGAUUAAUACUCUGCAAUUUUGACGUUACCGACAGAAUAAGCACCGGCUAACUCUGUGCCAGCAGCCGCGGUAAUACAGAGGGUGCAAGCGUUAAUCGGAAUUACUGGGCGUAAAGCGCGCGUAGGUGGUUAGUUAAGUUGGAUGUGAAAUCCCCGGGCUCAACCUGGGACUGC
rnacentral:rRNA from 1 species